CCUACGGGAGGCUGCAGUGAGGAAUAUUGGUCAAUGGGCGAGAGCCUGAACCAGCCAAGUCGCGUGAAGGAUGAAGGAUCUAUGGGUUGUAAACUUCUUUUAUAUGGGAAUAAAAUGUUCCACGUGUGGGAUUUUGUAUGUACCAUAUGAAUAAGGAUCGGCUAACUCCGUGCCAGCAGCCGCGGUAAUACGGAGGAUCCGAGCGUUAUCCGGAUUUAUUGGGUUUAAAGGGAGCGUAGGUGGAUUGUUAAGUCAGUUGUGAAAGUUUGCGGCUCAACCGUAAAAUUGCAGUUGAAACUGGCAGUCUUGAGUACAGUAGAGGUGGGCGGAAUUCGUGGUGUAGCGGUGAAAUGCUUAGAUAUCACGAAGAACUCCGAUUGCGAAGGCAGCUCACUGGACUGCAACUGACACUGAGGCUCGAAAGUGUGGGUAUCAAACAGGAUUAGAUACCCGAGUAGUC
rnacentral:rRNA from 1 species